rnacentral:rRNA from 1 species
GACGAACGCUGGCGGCGUGCUUAACGCAUGCAAGUCGAACGGUGAAGCGCCUUCCUUUUUGGUGGGUGUGGAUGAGUGGCGAACGGGUGAGUAACACGUGAGUAACCUGCCCCCUUCUUCUGGAUAACCGCAUGAAAGUGUGGCUAAUACGGGAUAUUCUGGGUCUGUCGCAUGAUGGGUCUGGGAAAGAUAUUGUUUCGGUGGGGGAUGGGCUCGCGACCUAUCAGCUUGUUGGUGGGGUGAUGGCCUACCAAGGCGGUGACGGGUAGCCGGCCUGAGAGGGUGGACGGUCACACUGGGACUGAGACACGGCCCAGACUCCUACGGGAGGCAGCAGUGGGGAAUAUUGCACAAUGGGCGCAAGCCUGAUGCAGCGACGCCGCGUGAGGGAUGGAGGCCUUCGGGUUGUGAACCUCUUUCGCCAGUGAAGCAGGCCUGCCUCGUUUGUGGGUGGGUUGACGGUAGCUGGAUAAGAAGCGCCGGCUAACUACGUG